GGGGAGAAAUGCUAAUGAUGACUAUUCAAAUGGACUAAUGUGAAACAAAAGGGUGGGAAAACUUCAAUCACUCUUUUUUGUAUUAUUACAGGUGCCCACUUUGAUGACUUGUACUAGCGCCUUUGAUCUCCAUCAUAGAAAAUGCUCUGCUCCAUUUCAAAAGAGAUUGUCAUAUAUGCCAUUUGCCAUUCACUGGCCUUUGGAUCAAACCAACAACAGACCUCACAGAUAGAAUUCCACCAAUGGCCAUUCACAAAGAGGGCAUGUCGUUGGUUCCAGUUGUCUUUUGUAAUACACGCUUUGUCUACCUGGAGCUGGAGAGAAUGAGAACAAUAACACUGAGAAGAGAAAUAGAGGUGUUCAAAACAAGGUACAGUGUAAUGCAGGGAACUUGAAAAGCAGAGCGUUUGACCUCAGCAUCCUGAAAUCAGGUGUGAGAAGAAGAAAACAAGACACCUUGUAAUUAAGACAGAUCCAAGACCAGAUUAAUAAUAAAUAUGGCAGGAAACAUUGGGAAGUGUCACUCUAGAGGCCGAGCCAUGGAUUUUAAUAUGUAUCCUUUCAAUUAGCCGUUGACUCUGUGGACAUCCUUUCAUGCUUAAUGGAAGCAGCCUAUGUUAAAAUUCAAAUAAAAUCUCAAAUUUAAAAUCAUUUCUCAUUUUCACUCUGCAUUUAUUAUAGCAGCCUCUUUGAAGUCACUGUCCUUCUUCUUCUUCUUUUUUUUUUUUUUCCCAGACAGAUUCUUGCUCUGUUGUCCAGGCUGGAGUGCAGUGGCACGAUCUCAGCUCACUGCAACCUCCGCCUCCCCGGUUCAAGCAAUUCUCCUGCCUCAGCCUCCUGAGUAGCUGGGAUUACAGGCACCCGCCACCACACCUGGCUAAUUUUUGUAUUUUUAGUAGAGACGGGGUUUCACCAUGUUGGUCAGGCUGGUCUCAAACUCCUGACCUCAGGCGAUCCGCUCACCUCGGCCUCCCAAAGUGCUGGGAUUUCAGGCAUGAGCCACGGAGCCCGGCCUGAAGUCACUUUCUAUCUGAUAAUUUAUCAUUCAUUUUCUUUUAACAUAUAUUAAUUGGCCAUUGACUCUAUGGACAUUCUGCUCAAUGGAGAAGUCCAAAGGGAUAUCAAAUAUCCUUGAACUUUUCACCAAUUUGCAGGACAGCGGAGGAUACAAGUCAAA
rnacentral:lncRNA from 1 species